ACGGCCCACCCAAGCCCACAUUCUCGAAGCCACUCCUAGGGUUCGCUUCCCCUCCCACCUAUAUAUAUCACCAGCCGUCACCACUUCCCACUCUCCCCCAUCGCCACCCCGCCGCCACUGCCGCAGCAGGAGGAGGAGAAGCGCCGAGGAAAGCUCCCGAGGAGGCGACCAUGAGGGCCAAGUGGAAGAAGAAGCGCAUGAGGAGGCUGAAGAGGAAGCGCCGAAAGAUGAGGCAGAGAUCCAAGUAAGCUGAUGGAGACUGAUGGUGGUGGUGAUGGCAUGCUUUGUACGUUUCUUUGGCUCUGAUGGCCCAUGGAGAUGUCUACUUGGCACGGCGUCACCAUUCAUCAUCUGUUGAAUGGCUUUUCUCGGAAACCUGCACCUCAGUAGGCCGGUUAUCAUCGUUCUAGUUAUAUCAAGAGUUUUGCACUGAGACAAAUCAGUACUUUAAUGGACCUGUUAUGGAGCUUUAUUUGCUGCUAAUAUCUACUACCGAUUAAGUAAUUCUUGCGUUGGUUUGUUUUGA